CAAGGAGUGGGCAGAGCACGCUCAACUAUAAGAAUACCAAGCACGAAGUCAUCAUGCCUCCAUGUCUACUCGUGGAGACCAAGCUAAAGGUCCCCACCUGCCACCACCAAGAAAGCAGAACCUGUUGUUUUGUCCAAAAUCAAAACUGCACUUCCACAAAGGAGAGGUUUCAAAGAUUAUGCAAGAAUGUCAAGAAGAAAGUUUCCGGAAGAGAGGUUUGCCUUUUUCUCUUGUAAGCCUGCUUGUCACCCAGGACUAGUCCACCAAGGUUAUUUAGCAGCUAAUCCAAGAUUUGGAUCGUUGCCUAAAGUUGCACUUGCUGGUAUCUUGGGAUUUGGCCUUGGAAAGAUAUCAUACAUAAGAGUGUGCCAGAGUAAAUUCCAUUUCUUUGGAGAUCAGCUCCAUGGAGCUGGUUUGGGUCCAGAGCAUAACAGGGGCUGCCUGCUUACCUGUGAGGAAUGCAAAAUAAAGCAUGGAUUAAGUGAGAAAGGAGGUUCACAGCCUUCGGCUUCCUUAACUCUGUGUCUGUGGCUUUUGAAGUUUUUAAACCUCUGAAUUUGUAUAAGUUUAAAAUUUCAAGCGUACUUUAAAAUACUUAUAGUGGAA